AUUUGCAUUCAGCAAAAAAAAAAAAAAUAGAUUAGCCUAAUUUGCUUAAUUGUGCAAAACACAUUUCUACAUAUUCUACCUUGUGUAAUUAACACAGCUGCAGUUAUUUUCCUUUUAUUUAUCUCAUAUAAUAUUCAAAUACAUUUAAAAUUUAAAAGGAAAAUUCGUUUCAAGGCUGUUUGUUUAGUUGAGAUUGUUUGUGUAAUUUUUGAGGCUGUUUGGAAACAACUCACCUCAAUUGAGUUUGUUUUCAUCCAAAAU
rnacentral:lncRNA from 1 species